rnacentral:rRNA from 1 species
GACGAACGCUGGCGGCGUGCCUAAUACAUGCGAGUUGAGCGCUGAAGGUUGGUACUUGUACCAACUGGAUGAGCAGCGAACGGGUGAGUAACGCGUGGGGAAUCUGCCUUUGAGCGGGGGACAACAUUUGGAAACGAAUGCUAAUACCGCAUAAAAACUUUAAACACAAGUUUUAAGUUUGAAAGAUGCAAUUGCAUCACUCAAAGAUGAUCCCGCGUUGUAUUAGCUAGUUGGUGAGGUAAAGGCUCACCAAGGCGAUGAUACAUAGCCGACCUGGAAGGGUGAUCGGCCACAUUGGGACUGAAACACGGCCCAAACUCCGACGGGAGGCAGCAGUAGGGAAUCUUCGGCAAUGGACGAAAGUCUGGCCGAGCAACGCCGCGUGAGUGAAGAAGGUUUUCGGAUCGUAAAACUCUGUUGGUAGAGAAGAACGUUGGUGAGAGUGGAAAGCUCAUCAAGUGACGGUAACUACCCAGAAAGGGACGGCUAACUACGUGCCAGCAGCCGCGGUAA